rnacentral:siRNA from 1 species
CUGAUGCCUAUUUGGCUGCGUG